UUUUUUUUUUUUUUUUUUUUUUUUUGCCUCUGGCCUGGCUGACAGUGGCUGCCUUUAACCCUAGCACUUGGGAGGCAGAGACAAACUAAUCUUCGUGAAAACAGUGUGGUCUACAUUAUGAGUUCCAGGCCACUCAGGACUAUAUAGUGAAACCCUGUCUCAUUAAAAAAAAAAAAAGCAGCAUCAGAAGAUGGCAAGAUGACAAUCUACCAAUUAUUGUGGAUACUGUUGUAAUCAUGCCUUUGUGAUUAGAGGGAAAGCAUCUGUAGUUUCCAUGUUUUAGUCUGUAUGGAUGAAAAAACAGGAAGUUUUGUGAUUAGACAUUGCAGAUUUUCAUAAUUUGUUGAGCCUUUUCUUGUGUCUAUAUGAGUUCAUUAUUCUAUCUUCACUUCAUUUGUAAAUGACUACAAAAUAGCCUAAUUAAACAUUGGAAAUUAUUUAGUUGGUACAGUUUGUUUGAGAUACUGAAAGUCUGAAAAUGGUGGUGCUAUUGGUCUAACAUUAUGCAUAUACAAUUAAAAUGGUUAAAGUGAUUAAUUAUAGGUCUUUGUGUUGGGAGAGCUGAUGAACUAACUCUUCUGGUAUGGUUUUCCUUUCUUGCUCUCCUUGUCUUUUAUCUACCCCGCUUUGGAGAGGAAGAAGGAAAAGCAUUCAAGUUAUAUCAGUAUUUCCUUGGUGGAGUUAGAACUAGAGUCAUAUUCUUCUAGUUGUAGCCUAGUGUUUCUGAGAUAGCCUGUAGCCUGCUACUGGCAUUAAAAAAGGAGGAAGUAGCAAGUGCAUUAUGUUCAGCCAACACAAAUGUGGAUAUUAUGGGAUUUCUGUUUUACUAUGUAAUGUGUACAUUACUGUGAUAUACCAUUUAUUCCUUAAAGAGGGAUUAUUUUUUGUGUUUGUUGUUGUUAGAAAAGGAGUGGUAUGGAAAAUACGGGUACCCAUGUAUUUCCUAGAAAGCAAAUGUCAAGAUUUUGAUGGAGGCUAGUAGACAAUAAGCAUUUCACCUUGUUUUCAGAUACAAGCCCAUUAAAAGAAUGGUUGACUAGGAAGAGCCAGCAAGGCUAGUCUAUCAGCACAUGGUGAAUAAGCCAUGAGAGAAGUAGGUGGGGUGCUGGGUUUGGAGAUGUUGAUCUUAUUUUUGACUGUCAGUAAGACAUGUAUAUGUUGGGAAUCACUUAGGAACCUUAUAGUCUGUUUACUUAUAGAACCUGAACAUAGACUCAGUAAAGCUGUGAUUUAAACUAGAAUUACUUAUGUUAGCUGUUUGAAGCUUGUUAUUAAAGAUUCUUGAAAGAUUAGGGACGCAAGUUGUUUCUGUAAAUAAAGAGUUUUAUUUUUACUUUAACUCUGAUAUUACCCACAGGGCACCUGAUUCUAGAGAAAAGAAAGGGGAGUUGUUAAUAGAAUUAUAGUCUAGAUCCAGACAAUACUGAGCUGAAAUUCUACUUCUGUUUGUUGGUGAGGCAUCUCAGAAAACUUGUGUAGAUUUUCAUUAAAAUAUCACAUAAAAGUUUAACUGAGAUAGUGGGUUAUAUAAAUGCCUGGAGUUUUGUGCUCAGCAGAUACGUCUAAAUAAUGUCAGGUUCCUGUUCUUUUACAUUUCUUAUUCUUUCAGUGUCUAUAAUCUUAAAUUGAUCUUUAAUCUUAAUUAGUACAUUUAUGGGAUUUUAAAAUACUGUUUUGACGAGAUCAAGACCAUGCAUUCGGCAAUUAAGUAAUGCUAUUU
rnacentral:lncRNA from 1 species